rnacentral:rRNA from 1 species
AGGCAGCUGUGGGGAAUAUUGCACAAUGGGCGCAAGCCUGAUGCAGCGACGCCGCGUGCGGGAUGGAGGCCUUCGGGUUGUAAACCGCUUUUGUUCAAGGGCAAGGCACGGCUUCGGGCCGUGUUGAGUGGAUUGUUCGAAUAAGCACCGGCUAACUACGUGCC